UACGGAGGGGGCAAGCGUUGUUCGGAAUUACUGGGCGUAAAGCGUGCGCAGGCGGUUAUUUAAGUCAGGUGUGAAAGCCCUGGGCUUAACCUAGGAAUUGCGCUUGAGACUGGAUAGCUUGGAGUGCGGCAGAGGGAGGUGGAAUUCCACGUGUAGCAGUGAAAUGCGUAGAGAUGUGGAGGAACACCGAUGGCGAAGGCAGCCUCCUGGGCCAGCACUGACGCUCAUGCACGAAAGCGUGGGGAGCAAACAGG
rnacentral:rRNA from 1 species